CCUACGGGUGGCAGCAGUGGGGGAUAUUGGACAAUGGGGGAAACCCUGAUCCAGCGACGCCGCGUGAGUGAAGAAGGAUUUCGGUACGUAAAGCUCUAUCAGCAGGAAAGAAAAUGACGGUACCUGACUAAGUAGCCCCGGCUAACUACGUGCAAGCAGCCGCGGUAAUACGGCGGGGGCAAGCGUUAUCCGGAUUUACUGGUUGUAAAGGGCGCGUAGGCGGGAGCGCAAGUUGGGCGUGAAAGGCCGGGGCCCAACCCCGGAACUGCUCUGGAAACUGAGGAGCUGGAGUGCGGGAGAGGUAAGCGGAAUUCGUGGUGUAGCGGUGAAAUGCGUAGAUAUCAGGAAGAACACCGGCGGCGAAGGCGGCUUACUGGACUGUAACUGACGUUGAGGCUCGAAGGCGUGGGGAGCGAACAGGAUUAGAUACCCGAGUAGUC
rnacentral:rRNA from 1 species